UACGGGAGGCAGCAGUGGGGAAUAUUGCACAAUGGGCGCAAGCCUGAUGCAGCCAUGCCGCGUGUAUGAAAAAGGCCUUCGGGUUGUAAAGUACUUUCAGUCGUGAGGAAGGUGUUAAGGUUAAUAACCUUAGCAAUUGACGUUAGCGACAGAAGAAGCACCGGCUAACUCCGUGCCAGCAGCCGCGGUAAUACGGAGGGUGCGAGCGUUAAUCGGAAUUACUGGGCGUAAAGGGCACGCAGGCGGUUAAUUAAGUUGGAUGUGAAAUCCCCGGGCUAACCUGGGAAUGGCAUUCAAGACUGGUUAGCUAGAGUCUUGUAGAGGGGGUAGAAUUCCAUGUGUAGCGGUGAAAUGCGUAGAGAUGUGGAGGAAUACCGGUGGCGAAGGCGGCCCCUGGACAAAGACUGACGCUCAUGUGCGAAAGCGUGGGGAGCAAACGAGGGAUUAGAUA
rnacentral:rRNA from 1 species